CUACUCAGAUAAGGAAUCCUAGUGUGACAAGGAGUCCCUGUUGGAUAAGGAUUACUCAAGAAGGUUCCGGAAGAGUGUAGAAGAAUCGCAGAAAAGAAAGCUAUGAAACAACUCCAUAUGCAAGUAGGUUUCCUAGUUGAAUACAAACUUCUUUUCUGCGAUUCUUCUACACUCUUCCGGAACCUUCUUGAGUAAUCCUUAUCCAACAGGGACUCCUUGUCACACUAGGAUU
rnacentral:lncRNA from 1 species